UAAGCAAGAGCUGGGUGGGUAAAGUUUAUACAAGCUCCAGAUACUGGUCCACUGUUGAGAUACAUCGAAUAGAAAACUUUCAAGAUGGUUGCCAAAAUGAAAGUAGGAAUCACUCUGCUGCUUAUUGGAAUGUUAAUCCUUGGAUUAUCAGCCACAGACGACGACAAAGAGUCACCCUUUAUUGACGGUGAUAGGGCCAAUGCCUUUCGUCGUGUAAAAAGGGCUGCAUCGCCUUGGAUAGAAGUGCCGGAGCCAUGGCAGCCAAAUGAGCCCCCGAAGCCGUGGAUAUAGCACCGAAGACAGUGAGAAAGGGAGGGUGAAAAGUUUUGAGGAAUUCGCUUUCUCAUUGCUGAAGUAGGACCGAGUUGUAAACGGUUUCGUUUGUGCUACCUAUAUGAACUUUCAACUGUUUUCUGUUUUUUUGCGCCUUAAAUAAACAUGAUAAUUGAUAUUAAAUACAUAAAUUGCUUAUUGAAUAAAUGAAUAAAAUGCUUAUUGAAUAAAAAAAUAAAUGGCUUAUUGAAUAAAUAAAUAAAAUGCUU